rnacentral:misc_RNA from 1 species
UCAAAAUAUGACAAAUUUAUAAACAUUAUUUAAUUUUUUUUUAGGGUUAUAUUAUCUUAAUUAAUAAAAAAAUAUGAGUAUAAAAAUUAAAAAUUAAAAGAAUUGAUAAUUUUAUGAAUAAUAGUGAAAUAUAUAGAAUAAUUCUAAUUUUAUAAAAAUAAUAAUUCACAUUGAUAUCUCCUAUGAAUGCUUAAUAGAAAAAAAAAAAUCUUCUCAGUAAUGGCAAUCCACCAAGG